AGAUUGAACGCUGGCGGCAGGCCUAACACAUGCAAGUCGAGCGGUAGAGAGGUGCUUGCACCUCUUGAGAGCGGCGGACGGGUGAGUAAUGCCUAGGAAUCUGCCUAGUGGUGGGGGAUAACGUUCGGAAACGGACGCUAAUACCGCAUACGUCCUACGGGAGAAAGCGGGGGACCUUCGGGCCUCGCGCCAUUAGAUGAGCCUAGGUCGGAUUAGCUAGUUGGUGAGGUAAUGGCUCACCAAGGCGACGAUCCGUAACUGGUCUGAGAGGAUGAUCAGUCACACUGGAACUGAGACACGGUCCAGACUCCUACGGGAGGCAGCAGUGGGGAAUAUUGGACAAUGGGCGAAAGCCUGAUCCAGCCAUGCCGCGUGUGUGAAGAAGGUCUUCGGAUUGGUAAAAGCUAACGUUUAAGGUUGGGGAAGGUAAA
rnacentral:rRNA from 1 species